rnacentral:lncRNA from 1 species
GGUUUAGUGGGUGACACGUUUGGUUAACCAUUUUGUUAGCCUUUGGUUAACCACGCAUGGUUUGAAAACCUUACGGAAGUGGGAAAAUAUCUAUAUAUAGUGUUAUUCAUAUAAAAAACAAUCCUAUAAGAUGCGAUUCUUUCCUUAUCUGCCAUACCAAAUCCAGACUCUCUUCAGUUGGCAUUUAGUGAAAGGAAGAAAUUAUUGAAAAACAUCCUUUGGUGAUUAACUUAUCUGUAAGGUAGGGUGGAGUGGACAAUUCUCUCAAAGGGGGAAUUGAGCUUGUUUGAGUUGGAGUCCUUUGACUCAAACUUGUAUCCACUUCUCUUUUACAAUGAUCCUGUUCUAUCAUUGUAUGUUAAUAAAUACAAUAUCAGACCCCUUGGGUAGAGCAUGUUUCCCACCUCCAGUUGAACUGACUUGCUUUCCCUCCUGCUUUCCUCUUAUAUAUCUUUUUCCCUUCCCUCUGACAUUUUGCCUCUUUCCUUCCUUUUUGCCUUUUCUACUUGCUUUUUAUAUUAUCCCAUCACCUUCUAACUACACAGACUGUCAGGCCGCACCAUAAAGAGCAACAUCAUGUUCAAUGCCUUGUCUACACUGGCUUUCAAGGUGACUUAGCACUUAUUUCUUCAGAGAAAUUUCCUACACCUUCAAAACAUAGGGAAUGAUCUUCAUCAACUACUUCAGAGGUUUAAUAUCUGCAGAGAACUUUGCUGUCUAAAAGGAAGGCACUGAUUUAGGGCAAGCUCCUAUAUUAUUGUCAGUCGCUGGUGAGCAGUUGCUUAAGAGGAAAUUGGGAGUCAGAAAAGAAAUUGC